rnacentral:rRNA from 1 species
GACGAACGCUGGCGGCGUGCUUAACACAUGCAAGUCGAACGAUGAAGCCUAGCUUGCUAGGUGGAUUAGUGGCGAACGGGUGAGUAAUACGUGAGUAACCUACCUUUAACUCUGGGAUAAGCCUGGGAAACUGGGUCUAAUACCGGAUACGACCAAUCUCCGCAUGGGGUGUUGGUGGAAAGCGUUAUGUAGUGGUUAUAGAUGGGCUCACGGCCUAUCAGCUUGUUGGUGAGGUAACGACUCACCAAGGCGACGACGGGUAGCCGGCCUGAGAGGGUGACCGGCCACACUGGGACUGAGACACGGCCCAGACUCCUACGGGAGGCAGCAGUGGGGAAUAUUGCACAAUGGGCGCAAGCCUGAUGCAGCGACGCCGCGUGAGGGAUGACGGCCUUCGGGUUGUAAACCUCUGUUAGCAGGGAAGAAGAGAGAUUGGCGGUACCUGCAGAGAAAGCGCCGGCUAACUACGUG